rnacentral:rRNA from 1 species
UACGAAGGGGGCUAGCGUUGCUCGGAAUCACUGGGCGUAAAGGGUGCGUAGGCGGGUUUUUACGUCAGCGGUGAAAUCCUGGAGCUCAACUCCAGAACUGCCUUUGAUACUGAGGAUCUUGAGUUCGGGAGAGGUGAGUGGAACUGCGAGUGUAGAGGUGAAAUUCGUAGAUAUUCGCAAGAACACCAGUGGCGAAGGCGGCUCACUGGCCCGAUACUGACGCUGAGGCACGAAAGCGUGGGGAGCAAACAGG